rnacentral:rRNA from 1 species
UACGUAGGUGGCAAGCGUUGUCCGGAUUUACUGGGCGUAAAGAGCGCGCAGGCGGUCGUUUCAAGUCGCGUGUGAAAAGCCCCCCGGCUCAACUGGGGAGGGUCACGCGAUACUGAUCGACUCGAAGGCAGGAGAGGGUAGUGGAAUUCCCGGUGUAGUGGUGAAAUGCGUAGAUAUCGGGAGGAACACCAGUGGCGAAGGCGACUACCUGGC